rnacentral:misc_RNA from 1 species
GCCACCAACUAUUUAAAACACAAUUCCCAGGGACUUGACAGAAACCAUAAGUAACCAAACUUAAAAUCCAAUCGGCAGUCAUUCAAAUUCAUUUACUAGAAUGGCCAACUGUUUCUGUUUUGCUCUUUGGAAACUGCAAAGGUGAAGUUCUAAACCUUGUCUGCUUUGUUUAAUUAAUGUUCCCAACUCAACUUCAGCAUCUCAACUUUAAACUCUAGCCCUUUUGCCACU